rfam:Camelus ferus unplaced genomic scaffold scaffold902, whole genome shotgun sequence.
GAGGGUAUAGCUCAGUGGUAGAGCAUGAGCUUGGCAUGCAUGAGGUCCUGGUUUCAAUCCCCAGUACCUCCA